AUUGAACGCUGGCGGAAUGCUUUACACAUGCAAGUCGAACGGUAGAGGGGGCAACCCCUCGAGAGUGGCGAACGGGUGAGUAAUAUAUCGGAACGUGCCCAGUCGUGGGGGAUAACGUAGCGAAAGUUACGCUAAUACCGCAUACGAUCUACGGAUGAAAGCGGGGGACCGUAAGGCCUCGCGCGAUUGGAGCGGCCGAUAUCAGAUUAGGUAGUUGGUGGGGUAAAGGCUCACCAAGCCAACGAUCUGUAGCUGGUCUGAGAGGACGACCAGCCACACUGGAACUGAGACACGGUCCAGACUCCUACGGGAGGCAGCAGUGGGGAAUUUUGGACAAUGGACGCAAGUCUGAUCCAGCCAUUCCGCGUGCAGGAUGAAGGCCCUCGGGUUGUAAACUGCUUUUGUACGGAACGAAAAGGUUUCCAUUAAUACUGGGAGCUCAUGACGGUACCGUAAGAAUAAGCACCGGCUAACUACGUGCCAGCCGCCGCCGUAA
rnacentral:rRNA from 1 species